rnacentral:tRNA from 1 species
GCCGAGGUAGCUCAGUCGGUAGAGCACGCGACUGAAAAUCGCGGUGUCGGCGGUUCAAUCCCGCCCCUCGGCACCC